rnacentral:rRNA from 1 species
CAGUCGCCGCGGUAAUACGGAGGGCGCGAGCGUUACCCGGAUUUACUGGGCGUAAAGGGCGUGUAGGCGGCCUGGGGCGUCCCAUGUGAAAGGCCACGGCUCAACCGUGGAGGAGCGUGGGAUACGCUCAGGCUAGAGGGUGGGAGAGGGUGGUGGAAUUCCCGGAGUAGUGGUGAAAUGCGCAGAUACCGGGAGGAACGCCGAUGGCGAAGGCAGCCACCUGGUCCACUUCUGACGCUGAGGCGCGAAAGCGUGGGGAGCAAACCGGAUUAGAUACCCGUGUAGUCCCUGUCUCUUAUAC